UAUGAGAGCCAUUACGAUGUAAAGUUUCGAACCUGGUCAGGAUGGGAACAUAGCAGCCAUAAGAAUUGCUUUGCAUGUGUAAUGGUUUUACUUUAUGAA
rnacentral:SRP_RNA from 1 species